rnacentral:misc_RNA from 1 species
GAUGAAGAACGCAGCGAAAUGCGAUAAGUAAUGCGAAUUGCAGAAUUUCCGUGAGUCAUCGAAUCUUUGAACGCACAUUGCGCCCCCUGGUAUUCCGGGGGGCAUGCCUGUCCGAGCGUCAUUGCUGCCCUCAAGCACGGCUUGUGUGUUGGGCCCCGUCCUCCGAUCCCGGGGGACGGGCCCGAAAGGCAGCGGCGGCACCGCGUCCGGUCCUCGAGCGUAUGGGGCUUUGUCACCCGCUCUGUAGGCCCGGCCGGCGCUUGCCGAUCAACCCAAAUUUUUUAUCCAGGUUGACCUCGGAUCAGGUAGGGAUACCCGCUGAACUUAAGCAUAUCAAUAAGCGGAGGA